AAAGCUAUAACUAUAUAAGUAUUAUUAUUUACAAUAAUAACAAGGUAGUGUAAAUCUAUCUAGCUUUA
rnacentral:tRNA from 1 species